UUGAUUGAUUCAAUUUGUACUCAGACGCAAAGAUGCAGAGUUGGAUGGUCCGCCGGGGGCCCCGACGCCCGAAGGCCGGGUCGCCCCCGAGGCAACAGAGUCGGAUAACAUGGGGUUGGAGGUCGGGCCGGGGGCCCUCGCUCAGUAAUGAUCCCUCCGCAGGUUCACCUACGGAGA
rnacentral:misc_RNA from 1 species